AUUGAACGCUGGCGGCAUGCUUUACACAUGCAAGUCGAACGGCAGCGCGGGCUUCGGCCUGGCGGCGAGUGGCGAACGGGUGAGUAAUGCAUCGGAACGUGCCCAGUAGUUGGGGAUAGCCCGGCGAAAGCCGGAUUAAUACCGCAUACGACCUGAGGGUGAAAGCGGGGGACCGAAAGGCCUCGCGCUAUUGGAGCGGCCGAUGUCGUAUUAGCUAGUUGGUGGGGUAAAGGCUUACCAAGGCGACGAUGCGUAGCUGGUCUGAGAGGACGACCCGCCACACUGAGACUGAGACGCGGCCCAGAGUCCUACGGGAGGCAGCAGUGGGGAAUUUUGGACAAUGGGGGCAACCCUGAUCCAGCCAUGCCGCGUGCGGGAAGAAGGCCUUCGGGUUGUAAAACGCUUUUGUUCGGGAAGAAAUCCUUUGGGCUAAUACCCCGGGGGGAUGACGGUACCGGAAGAAUAAGCACCGGCUAACUACGUG
rnacentral:rRNA from 1 species